rnacentral:rRNA from 1 species
GUCGAGCGGAGCGAGGGUGCUUGCACCUUAGCUUAGCGGCGGACGGGUGAGUAAUGCUUAGGAAUCUGCCUAUUAGUGGGGGACAACAUUCCGAAAGGGAUGCUAAUACCGCAUACGCCCUACGGGGGAAAGCAGGGGAUCUUCGGACCUUGCGCUAAUAGAUGAGCCUAAGUCGGAUUAGCUAGUUGGUGGGGUAAAGGCCUACCAAGGCGACGAUCUGUAGCGGGUCUGAGAGGAUGAUCCGCCACACUGGGACUGAGACACGGCCCAGACUCCUACGGGAGGCAGCAGUGGGGAAUAUUGGACAAUGGGGGGAACCCUGAUCCAGCCAUGCCGCGUGUGUGAAGAAGGCCUUUUGGUUGUAAAGCACUUUAAGCGAGGAGGAGGCGCUCUAGGAUAAUACCCUAGAUGCGUGGACGUUACUCGCAGAAUAAGCACCGGCUAACUCUGUGCCAGCAGCCGCGGUAAUACAGAGGGUGCGAGCGUUAAUCGGAUUUACUGGGCGUAAAGCGCGCGUAGGUGGCUAAUUAAGUCAAAUGUGAAAUCCCCGAGCUUAACUUGGGAAUUGCAUUCGAUACUGGUUAGCUAGAGUAUGGGAGAGGAUGGUAGAAUUCCAGGUGUAGCGGUGAAAUGCGUAGAGAUCUGGAGGAAUACCGAUGGCGAAGGCAGC